GAGUAACGAUUUCCCUACUGUCUCCACCAUGAACUCGGUGAAAUUGCAUUACGAGUAAAGAUGCUCGUUACGCGCAGCAGGACGGAAAGACCCCGGGACCUUUACUAUAGUUUGGUAUUGGUGAUUGGGACGGUUUGUGUAGGAUAGGUGGGAGACGUUGAUGCGGCCACGCUAGUGGUGGUGGAGUCGUUGGUGAAAUACCACUCUGAUUGUUCUGGUUAUCUCACUGUGGACCGUGAUCCGGUUCAAGGACAGUGCCUGAUGGGUAGUUUGACUGGGGCGGUCGCCUCCUAAAGGGUAACGGAGGCGCCCAAAGGUUCCCUCAUCCUGGUUGGUAAUCAGGUGGUGAGUGUAAGUGCACAAGGGGGCUUGACUGUGAGACUGACAGGUCGAGCAGGGACGAAAGUCGGGACUAGUG
rnacentral:rRNA from 1 species